rnacentral:rRNA from 1 species
GACGAACGCUGGCGGCGUGCUUAACACAUGCAAGUCGAACGAAGUGGCGAACGGGUGAGUAAUACGUGGGUAACCUGCCCUCCUUUUUGGGAUAAGCCUUGGAAACGGGGUCUAAUACCGAAUAAAGGGGGAUGGGCUCGCGGCCUAUCAGCUUGUUGGUGGGGUGAUGGCCUACCAAGGCGGUGCCGGGUAGCCGGCCUGAGAGGGUGACCGGGCACAAUGGUACUGGGAUACGGGCCAGACCUCUACGGGGGGGAGCCGUGGGGAAUCUUCCGAAAUGGGCGAAAGUCUGACGGAGCAACGCCGCGGUAGUGAUGACGGCCUUCGGGUUGUAAAACUCUGUUAAUCGGGACGCGGUACCGGAAUAGAAAGCAACGGCUAACUACGUGCCAGCAGCCGCGGUAAUAC